rnacentral:rRNA from 1 species
AUUGAACGCUGGCGGCAGGCCUAACACAUGCAAGUCGAGCGGCAGCGGAAAGUAGCUUGCUACUUUGCCGGCGAGCGGCGGACGGGUGAGUAAUGUCUGGGAAACUGCCUGAUGGAGGGGGAUAACUACUGGAAACGGUAGCUAAUACCGCAUAACGUCGCAAGACCAAAGAGGGGGACCUUCGGGCCUCUUGCCAUCAGAUGUGCCCAGAUGGGAUUAGCUAGUAGGUGGGGUAACGGCUCACCUAGGCGACGAUCCCUAGCUGGUCUGAGAGGAGGACCAGCCACACUGGAACUGAGACACGGUCCAGACUCCUACGGGAGGCAGCAGUGGGGAAUAUUGCACAAUGGGCGCAAGCCUGAUGCAGCCAUGCCGCGUGUAUGAAGAAGGCCUUCGGGUUGUAAAGUACUUUCAGCGGGGAGGAAGGUGCUGAGGUUAAUAACCUCAGCAAUUGACGUUACCCGCAGAAGAAGCACCGGCUAACUCCGUGCCAGCAGCCGCGGUAA